CAGUAGCCGCGGUAAUACGAAGGGUGCAAGCGUUACUCGGAAUUACUGGGCGUAAAGCGUGCGUAGGUGGUGGUUAAGUCCGUUGUGAAAGCCCUGGGCUCAACCUGGGAAUUGCAGUGGAUACUGGGUCACUAGAGUGUGGUAGAGGAUAGUGGAAUUUCCGGUGUAGCAGUGAAAUGCGUAGAGAUCGGAAGGAACAUCUGUGGCGAAGGCGACUAUCUGGGCCAACACUGACACUGAGGCACGAAAGCGUGGGGAGCAAACAGGAUUAGAUACCCGGGUAGUCCCUGUCUCUUAUACA
rnacentral:rRNA from 1 species